rnacentral:rRNA from 1 species
AGAACGAACGCUGGCGGCAUGCCUAAUACAUGCAAGUCGAACGAACACUUCGGUGUUAGUGGCGCACGGGUGCGUAACGCGUGGGAAUCUGCCCUUGGGUUCGGAAUAACAGUUGGAAACGACUGCUAAUACCGGAUGAUAUCGAAAGAUCAAAGAUUUAUCGCCCAGGGAUGAGCCCGCGUAGGAUUAGCUAGUUGGUGAGGUAAAGGCUCACCAAGGCGACGAUCCUUAGCUGGUCUGAGAGGAUGAUCAGCCACACUGGGACUGAGACACGGCCCAGACUCCUACGGGAGGCAGCAGUAGGGAAUAUGGACAAUGGGCGCAAGCCUGAUCCAGCAAUGCCGCGUGAGUGAUGAAGGCCUUAGGGUUGUAAAGCUCUUACCCGAGAUGAUAAUGACAGUAUCGGAGAAUAAGCCCCGGCUAACUCCGUAGCCAGCAGCCGC